rnacentral:rRNA from 1 species
UACGUAGGGGGCAAGCGUUGUCCGGAUUUACUGGGCGUAAAGAGCGUGUAGGCGGCCAGGUAGGUCUGCUGUGAAAACUCGAGGCUCAACCUCGAGACGUCGGCGGAAACCAUCUGGCUAGAGUCCGGAAGAGGAGAGUGGAAUUCCUGGUGUAGCGGUGAAAUGCGCAGAUAUCAGGAAGAACACCCGUGGCGAAGGCGGCUCUCUGGGACGGUACUGACGCUGAGGCGCGAAAAGCGUGGGGAGCGAACAGG